GAGAGAGAGAGAGAGAGAGAGAGAGAGAGAGAGAGAGAGAGAGAGUAGGGGACAGGAAGGGCCUAUGGAAACACAGCCACGUCAAGUAAGCAAGCGAUGACACUUUGAAUAUCGUUUCGAAACGUCAUUUCCUUUUCCUUUUUUCUUUCGUUCUUUUCCGUAAAAAUAAAUCUCUAAAUUAUAAAAAAAAAUUAACCUAAAUCUUUCUAUUUUGUUAUUGUUAUUUCAUUGAUGAGCUAUUGCAAGAGGAAUUCCAGAAAAAGCUAAGCAGAAGAAGCAGACGGGAAAGAGGCGUUGGAGAUGGAAAAAUGGAGGAGAUUGUUGAAUUUGGAGAGAAGAGAAGACGUUAUUAAUUAAAGCACCAUUGUUUCGGCGGUGAGAUUGAAGAAACAAAGCAAAAUUUGGGGUGCCGUGGGGAUGUGGUAGUGGAUGUGACUACUAAGCUUUCCGUGAUGGAUGGAUGCGAUGGGAAUGGCUCCAAAAUUUCGCGUAAAAUCCCCAAUAACAGUCUGCCUGCCUGCUUCGGAGGAGCUUGUCAUUAAGAGAGGAGGAGGAAGGAUGGCAGAAGGACAAAAAUGUAGUUCGCUUUAAGACCCUGAUUGGGUUUAGAGCAAAGCUUUCCCAUUAAGAGAAAAAGAAAAGGCCAGCAGCACCCAUGGCACUUAACCUGAUGAAUGUAUUUUGCCAGCAUGCUAGCUCUAGCUGCUUACCGAGUUAGUAAACCAAAGCUAAUUGAUUUCCAUUUGUCCUGUAACUUUCACUUUUUGUUCAGAAGGUUGGCCAAGUUCCGAAGAUCCUCAAAUGCAUGCAUUGUAUCAGCAUCCAACCCUCCUGCAAACUGUGGCCGGGAAAAGGCAAAACACAAUCAGCAACAAUCUCUUUUUGUUUUCCUGAACAAAAAUGAUUAAUUAAUCGGUACCUGAUGAAUUCUGAACGCAAAUCUUACUCCUUGAAGAAGCAUGUAGUCCAUUGCGGGAUCUUUCUCUGAUGACGCCUUUGACUGAAGUUCCAUAGCUACUCUCUUCAUGUACAUCUUUGCCAACUUCACCGAACCCAACUUUAUCUACAACAUAAGAGUUCAAUUUUGACUUAUGAUGAUAUUUCAUGAAGUUUUACCUUGCUUAUGAUCCCGUUGUCGAGCAUCCAAUCUGUGGGAAUUUGGAAUUCUUU